rnacentral:rRNA from 1 species
CCGGCCUGCCCUUAUGCUGCAAGUCGAACGGUUUUGGUUUUCGGACCAAGAUAGUGGCAAACGGGUGAGUAACGCGUAAGUAACCUGCCCCUAAGUAGGGGAUAACUCUAAGAAAUUGGGGCUAAUACCUUAUGUGGUGGUGGAGGUAAGGCUUUAUCACUAAAGCCGAAAGGCGCUUGGGGAGGGGCUUGUGUCCGAUUAGCUAGUUGGUAGGGUAACGGCCUACCAAGGUAAUGAUGAGUAGCCGGCCUGAGAGGGUGUACGGCCACACUGGAACUGCGACACGGUCCAGACUCCUACGGGAGGCAGCAGUAGGGAAUUUUGCGCAAUGGGCGAAAGCCUGACGCAGCGACGCCGCGUGGAGGAUGAAGGCCUUCGGGUUGUAAACUCCUGUCAGAGGUGAAGAAUGCCCUCUUACGAGGGUUUGACGGUAACCUCAGAGGAAGCCCCGGCUAACUACGUGCCAGCAGCCGCGGUAAUACGUAGGGGGCGGGCGUUGUCCGGAUUUAUUGGGCGU